CUUCACCGAGCCGAGCAGCAGCGGGCUCUGCGCGCUGUGGUCCUGCCCGUAGGUGGCGAGCAGCGCCUGCGCCUC
rfam:Streptomyces albus strain DSM 41398, complete genome.